rnacentral:rRNA from 1 species
GAUGAACGCUGGCGGCGUGCCUAAUACAUGCAAGUCGAACGAAGAUCUAGCUUGCUAGAUCUUAGUGGCGAACGGGUGAGCAAUACAUAAAUAAUCUGCCCAUAUGACUGGGAUAACUAUUGGAAACGAUAGCUAAUACCGGAUAGGUUGAUCGGAGGCAUCUCUGAUGAAUUAAAGUAGGAUUUCUACACAAAUGGAUGAGUUUAUGGCGCAUUAGUUAGUUGGUGGGGUAACGGCCUACCAAGACGAUGAUGCGUAGCCGACCUGAGAGGGUGACCGGCCACACUGGGACUGAGACACGGCCCAGACUCCUACGGGAGGCAGCAGUAGGGAAUUUUCGGCAAUGGGCGCAAGCCUGACCGAGCAACGCCGCGUGAGUGAUUAAGGCCUUCGGGUUGUAAAGCUCUGUUGUAAGGGAAGAACAUUCAGGAUAGGAAAUGAUCUUGAACUGACGGUAUCUUACCAGAAAGCCACGGCUAACUACGUGCCAGCCGCCGCCGUAA